UGGACCAGGAUCCUAUGGGUCAAAGGGCAUCUGAAGACUCUGGUGCCUGUUUCUCAAUGUUGUUGGGGGGAUGGUGGUAGUGUCUGUUUAUUUCUUUGCUUUGGAGACCUAGCCUCAAACUCAUUUCGUAGCUGAAGAUGACCUUGAGUUCUUGAUCCUUCUGCUCCUCUUCUCAAGUACCAGGAUUACAGCAAUGGAAAAGUGACUACGACAGAUACGAGCUGCCUUGGUCACGGCACCUCUUCAGAGCAAUAGAGCUAAGACACUGCUCUUUGAGAGGCCCGAGCUUUGAAUUCCAGCGUUCAUAUAACAACUUACAGGCAUCUGUAACUCCAGUUCCAGAGCAUCCGAUGCCCUCUUCUGGCUUCCUUGGGCAUCAGGCAUAGAAGCAGGCAAAUCACAUAACCGUAUAAAGCAAAUAUUUCUGUCACAUUGGACUCUGCGGGUGAAGUAAAGAGAGCCUCACAGUUUCUCCAACUUAGACUCCAUCCCUUUGCCUAUGCAUCCUCCCUGUACCCCAGGCGUCCCACCAGGUACCAAGUCUCAUCUUCCUACUUUCCAUCGUACAUAUGCUAACCCUCUGGAAGAGCUGCUGGGAGCCAGGGAGCCAGAGAGCCAGGGAGCCAACCCUUGAUGUUGAGAUAAAGACCUUCACCUGGUGACCUCAGUAGACUGUCUCAGUCUUAGCCUUCACUAACGCCUGAAGGGAACUUUUACCUCCUGCUAGUUAACUGUUACUCACUUCCCUGAAGCAAGCUUUAUAUUUGUACUAGUAAAACCAGUUGGUCAAACCGCA